UUGCUUCGGCAGCACAUAUACUAAAAUUGGAACGAUACAGAGAAGAUUAGCAUGGCACUGCGCAACAUGGCUUCUCUUCUGUUCAUAUGUGACUCGGAGUGUU